ensembl:lncRNA
GGCACUGGCACCAAGGCUUCUUAGAAAAAGCCCCAGGGUAAGCCCAACCCAGCCUCUCCUCCCACUAAUUAUUCAAAGCCAGGGUUGAGUCUUCCUAACAGGGUGAAUUCUCUGACAAGGAAGUUUUGCAACCUAAUUUACCGCUGGAGUCAAGCUUGUCAGUGAGUGCCAGAGGGGAACUGUCGCAAUCCACUGGUUAAGUCUUGGAUGGAUGAUUUUACUACUAAAAAGCUGCAUUACAAGUCUUGACAACUAAACUCCAGUAGAAAAAAGAAAAAGAUUGGCAGUAUUUUGAAGAGUGAUAUUAUCUCAGAUAUUCUUAGAGCCACCAGUGCCCAAAGUAGUGCUUUGCUUGAAUAUAGCAGACCCAAA